rnacentral:rRNA from 1 species
CCUACGGGGGGCUGCAGUGGGGAAUAUUGGACAAUGGGGGGAACCCUGAUCCAGCCAUGCCGCGUGUGUGAAGAAGGCCCUCGGGUUGUAAAGCACUUUCAGUGAGGAAGAACGCCUGGUGGUUAAUACCCAUCAGGAAAGACAUCACUCACAGAAGAAGCACCGGCUAACUCCGUGCCAGCAGCCGCGGUAAUACGGAGGGUGCGAGCGUUAAUCGGAAUUACUGGGCGUAAAGCGCGCGUAGGUGGCUUGAUAAGCCGGUUGUGAAAGCCCCGGGCUCAACCUGGGAUCGGCAUCCGGAACUGUCAAGCUAGAGUGCAGGAGAGGAAGGUAGAAUUCCCGGUGUAGCGGUGAAAUGCGUAGAGAUCGGGAGGAAUACCAGUGGCGAAGGCGGCCUUCUGGACUGACACUGACACUGAGGUGCGAAAGCGUGGGUAGCAAACAGGAUUAGAUACCCCUGUAGUC